AGGCAAUUGACCGAGGCCUGGCUUUUGAACUUGUCUAUAGCCCUGCUAUCAAAGACUCCACAAUGAGAAGGUAUACAAUUUCCAAUGCCCUCAAUUUGAUGCAAAUCUGCAAAGGAAAGAAUGUAAUUAUAUCUAGUGCUGCAGAAAGGCCUUUAGAAAUAAGAGGGCCAUAUGAUGUGGCAAACCUAGGCUUGCUGUUUGGGCUCUCUGAAAGUGAUGCCAAGGCUGCGGUUUCCACCAACUGCCGAGCAGCGCUUCUCCAUGGAGAAACUAGAAAAACUGCUUUUGGAAUUAUUUCUACAGUGAAGAAACCUCGGCCAUCAGAAGAUGAAGAUUGUCUUCCAGCUUCCAAGAAAGCCAAAGGAUUGUCCUGGGCUGAUGAGAGUCACUUUACCUGAAGAUACCUGGGAAGUUUUGUCUCCUCUGAGGUUGGCCCAUGGCCAGUGACUGAUGCAGGACAUUACAGCCCGGCCCACUGGCCUCGGUGGUACAAUUUAUGCUCCUGAGCACCCCAUGGAAUUACACCGUGUGUGGAUUUCUCCUGAAACCACAUACUUGCCUCUUCUGCCCUGUUCUGUUUUUUCUCAUUCCCUUAUAGAGGACUCUCAGUAAGUCACUUGCACAAGAAUCCUAAUUUGAAAUGCUGCUUCCGGGAGACCUGACUUAGAAAAUUGGACAAAUAAAGUUGAUUUUUUUAA
rnacentral:sRNA from 1 species